AAUAGGAUUUUAAAGUGUAAAUAGGAAUAGAAAAGGUUUGGAAGGACGGGAGAAGGGGGAGGUAUUUUGGUUUAUGAGUAUAUAAAUAAGUAUUUGGAAGUUUAGAAGUGUUUGGAAUAUUUGAUGUGAGUUGAAGUAUUGAGUGUAUUAAAGAAUAAUAAUUUGAGUUAGAGUUAAAUUAGGUUUGAUUUUUUAGGUUUGAUAU
rnacentral:misc_RNA from 1 species